UGUUUAGGUUUGUUUUGCGAAGUCAUUGCUCUACUCUAAGUCCAGUUAUGAAUACGGUCAUUGGACAUGGCCCUCAGAGGGUGAAAGGCCCGUGUGAGUAGAGACCUCGGCGGUGGCUUCCUAAUCGAACCUUGGAGUCGGGUUGUUUGAGAAUGCAGCCCAAAGUGGGUGGUAAACUCCAUCCAAGGCUCAAUACUGGCACGAGUCCGAUAGCGAACAAGUACCGUGAGGGAAAGUUGAAAAGUACUCUGAAGAGAGAGUAAACAGUACGUGAAACCGCACAGAGGUAAACGGGUAGAGUUGAACUGCAAGCCUGGAAGAUUCAGCUGGUGAGUUUGGUCGUGCCUGGCAUAGAGGUCUGCUUAACUGCAGGUCAUUGCUCUCGGGGUGAUGAUUGGCGAUACACUUGACAUGUGUUGCGUGCCCCUGUGCUAGUGGUCGGCUUGUCAGUGCACUUCUUUCAGGUGUUCAUCACGACCGACGCUGCUGUCUGUCUGCUGUGGCCAAACCAGUGGAGUUUGGUCUUCUGGCCUUGCUCUGCCGGGAUGGCAGGUAGCCUGUUAGCCUUCUGGUUUUCAGGUGUAAUAGCUGGUCGCAGUGGAUCUGUGCAGUGCGUCGGAGACGGCGGCUUUUGUGGUGUAGAUGCUGUCAGUGUGCGGCCGUGUUUUGCCAAUGUGUGAAGCUCGGUUUGUGCGCUUGGCGGUUCUUUGCGCUGCUUUAUUGGCCGAUAGUCUGUGAUGUAGUGGUAAACUCUCUACCCGACCCGUCUUGAAACACGGACCAAGGAGUUUAACAUGUGCGCGAGUCAUUGGGUUAUCGAAACCUACAGGCGAAAUGAAAGUAAAGGUCUGGCUAGUCUGGACUGAGGUGAGAUCCGGUCGUUCUAAUGCUUUCUUAGUGUUUGAUCGUCAGGCGCAUCACCGGCCCGUCCCAUGGUGUAGUCAUGGUGCCUUGUGUGCUGUGCAUCACCGGGGUGGAGCAUGAGCGUACAUGUUGAGACCCGAAAGAUGGUGAACUAUGCUUGUGCAGGUUGAAGCCAGAGGAAACUCUGGUGGAGGACCGCAGCGAUUCUGACGUGCAAAUCGAUCGUCAAAC
rnacentral:rRNA from 1 species